rnacentral:rRNA from 1 species
GACGAACGCUGGCGGCGUGCUUAACACAUGCAAGUCGAACGGAAAGGCCCUGCUUUUGUGGGGUGCUCGAGUGGCGAACGGGUGAGUAACACGUGAGUAACCUGCCCUGGACUUUGGGAUAACUUCAGGAAACUGGGGCUAAUACCGGAUAGGAGCUCCUGCUGCAUGGUGGGGGUUGGAAAGUUUCGGCGGUUGGGGAUGGACUCGCGGCUUAUCAGCUUGUUGGUGGGGUAGUGGCUUACCAAGGCUUUGACGGGUAGCCGGCCUGAGAGGGUGAACGGCCACAUUGGGACUGAGAUACGGCCCAGACUCCUACGGGAGGCAGCAGUGGGGAAUAUUGCACAAUGGGCGGAAGCCUGAUGCAGCAACGCCGCGUGCGGGAUGACGGCCUUCGGGUUGUAAACCGCUUUCGCCUGUGACGAAGCGUGAGUGACGGUAAUGGGUAAAGAAGCACCGGCUAACUACGUG